rnacentral:rRNA from 1 species
GAUGAACGCUGGCGGCGUGCUUAACACACGCAAGUCGAACGAAGCACUCUAUUUGAUUUUCUUCGGAAAUGAAGAUUUUGUGACUGAGUGGCGGACGGGUGAGUAACGCGUGGGUAACCUGCCUCAUACAGGGGGAUAACAGUUGGAAACGACUGCUAAUACCGCAUAAGCGCACAGUAUCGCAUGAUACAGUGUGAAAAACUCCGGUGGUAUGAGAUGGACCCGCGUCUGGUUAGCUAGUUGGUGGGGCAACGGCCUACCAAGGCGACGAUCAGUAGCCGACCUGAGAGGGUGACCGGCCACAUUGGGACUGAGACACGGCCCAAACUCCUACGGGAGGCAGCAGUGGGGAAUAUUGCACAAUGGGGGAAACCCUGAUGCAGCGACGCCGCGUGAACGAAGAAGUAUUUCGGUAUGUAAAGUUCUAUCAGCAGGGAAGAUAAUGACGGUACCUGACUAAGAAGCACCGGCUAAAUACGUGCCAGCCGCCGCCGUAA